UAUUUUUCCAACAAGAUUAGCACUUUUACCUCCAGCAACUACUACAGCAUUAAAUGAUGAACUUACAGUUUUCAAAAGUAUAUUCAUUAAUUAUGAACAUCUUGACUACACUAAGUUAUCAGAGAAAAGGGAAGUGAUUUAGCUCUUGAUCACAGAGACCCAGAGCAUCAGUAAAUCAAGUGAUGACAAAAGCAAAGAACUCCAUAAUGACUCAGCUAUUCUCAAUCAGGCUGUGUUAAAACCACUCAGGUUGAGCAUGGGGAAGCUCAGCCGGUACAAGUGGUAGUCAGUGUUCCCCUGACAGUAUAAUUUUUAUGGUGUUUGUUUUAUCAAACAUAAAUGUGCAACUUGACUGCCACAAACUUCCAGAAAGAAAAAAAACACAAAGAUAUCAUCGCAGAACAUAAAAUAAGGUCUAUAUUCAGCUUCUCUGGAGAAGAGCAGAAAAAUCUACUGCUGUGAAGCAUGUCUUCUUAUGAAAAGAGUUCAGAAGGAAAAAUGUCUGAGCUUCUCUGGAGAAGAGCAGAAAAUCUGCUGCCGUGAAGUAUGUCCUCUUAUGAAAAGAGUUCAUAUUCAAACACUAACUUUAAAGAUUAUUAUGUGCAACCAACUUAACUGCUCUAUGGCAGAACUGGGAUUAAAAUUCAAGUUUGACAAUUUUCAAAAUCCUUCUCAAAAUUAGCUCAAUGUAACCUUUCCACAAUGUACACAUAUUUCAAAACAUUAUGUUGUGCAUGAUAAACCCAUACAAUUUUUAUUUGCCAGUUGUACAUAAAUAAUUGAUUAAUUAAACCAACCAACCAACACACACCCACACCAAAAACCUUCUUUGAAACUGUAAGCAUGGAAAAUACUGAAGUUUUCACCUGAAUGAAUUAAAAUCUCAAUUUAAAUAUGAUUGAAACCAAAUUAAAUUUGAACUUCUUGUAUUUAUUGAACUUCUGUUAAAUAAAUUGCACGUCCAAAAGGACACUUGUACUUUAUUAGCCUUUUCCAUCUUCCAGCUGGGGAUGUAUGGUAGUGGUAGUGGGAAGUGGGGAAAGGAAUAUAAUUGAGGAAUUAAGUAAAUAAUUCAAAAACCUUUAGAAUGUAAGUGCGAACUCUAUACCAGAAAGUAGAAUUUCACAUUUGCUUUCCAGUGCAUGAAAAGUCAAGGCUAUUGAUGGACAGUCUAUUUCUUAGACAAUGUGAAUUUCUAAAAAUUGACCAAACAAUGAGGUCUAUUUAUUUGAGGAAUAGGAUUCAUAUGCAACACGAGUUCAUACCUCAGACCUUGGAUAAGUUCAACUAAAGUGACACAGCUAUUUAAUCAAAAGAUGAGAGCACUCCAAUGACAACUUCUUAAAUUGAUCUGGAAUUUGAUUGCUGUGUAGGUAUAAUAUUAGCCAAACACAACUUUUGUUUCAUGUGUACUUUUGCAGCUAAGUAACAUAAGUUAUAUAAUCACCUUUAACAUUACUGCCAGAUAUUGUAUGAAUAUUUAAGAAUAACUGCAUUUUAACUUAAAUUAAAAGCCAUUUGUCUUUGAUUAACUAUACUUAUUCCAGAUUGUUAAACAAUGUGCUUGACAUUCACUUGAGAGUUUUGAGAAGGCACGUAGUUUUGUUGUGUUUGCUGGCAGUUCAAUCUUUGUGUAUACACACAUGCAUUUAACGACUGUAAAGAAGAGAUCACAAAUUCGUGAUGCGCAACUAGAACAUAAAUUAUUUUCAUUGCAAGCUAUAACUGCAACGACAAGAGAAGUUUUAUGAUACAUUUUUGUCACUAAUAUGAAUGUUAAAGAGUUGAGAAUUUACGUGUUAGGAGGCACGCUCAACUAGAUUGUGAAACAAUAGUUUCUAACAGCUCUGAAGGAGCUAUUAGAUUGUGUAAAAAAAUGUGUUCUAAAAAGUCCCUAAAUAUGUAUUUAUAUAAUUGGAGCUAUUAUGGUUUAUUGUAUCAAUUACUCAUGUACUAAAGAAGAAAGAACCAACAGCUUAAAACACUUUCAUUAAAGGGGUUGGCAGUUACACACAAGCAACCCAAUCUUGAGCCUUUGAAGAGGUUAAGACAAACAAUGUAAAUGUUCUUGUAAAAUUAUCUGUAAUAUCUCUAAACACAACUUCUACUUGGGAAUAAAAAUAGUGUGUAUUUGUAAUGAUGAUCAAAUAAGGAUUAUAGAAUUGUUACAGGAUGAAAAUCAUACCCCGUACAUUGUGUCAAGCUAUUUUAAAAUAAAAAGAAAUGAAAGUAGGGGAAGAAAAGCCUGAAUUUUUGUAGACACUACCAAGACUGGCUUUCUGAUUUUGUUUAAUUGACAUCUAUAUAUGAAGACACUAAUAAAUAGCCUUUGCUUCAGGUUUUGUUGUUGUUAUUGUUUUAUGCAUUUAAUCUAGAUUGGAGGAAAAGGAAUUCUAUACAGGAAAUGCUAAUUAACAAUACAGAACGAAAGCACAAGAAAUGUGAUGCAGCUUUAAUUGUCAAAUCUUAAAUACUACAGCUUCAGAGAAUGUGUAAAUAAAUUUGUGACAGAAUGUUUUUUGCAGUUUUCAUUCAUUGUCAUUUUCCAGGGGGUUUUGAUGUAAAGAGUUUUCAUUUGCAGAUAUAGAGGACAAAGAUAAUAGUAGGGCAGGAAAUAAUUUACAAACUAGCAGGCUGAAUUAUUAUAAUAAAUCUCACUUGGCUAAAGAUGAUAAUGAUGUGAUAAUAACUGUUUCUUUCCCUAUUAUUCUCUAUGGAGUGAACUUAGUAAAAAUAACUUGGUGGGCAUUUCAACAGACACAUUGGAAGUUUACUAUUUCCUUUGAGUUAGGUAGGGCUGAAUGGUUGAUAUACACUGGGGGAUUUUAACAUUAUACAUAACUUUGCAAGUGUAGAAAUGACCAAUAUAAGCUAAAAAUUUUAAAUUGUUCCACAAGAUAUUCUUGGGCAUUUUUAUCCCCUGGUAGAUUUUCAGACACUGAGGUUCCCCCUAAUGCAAUAUAAAAAUGUUAAAAUAAUACCUAGUUCACAAUUAAGAAUUGAGGUUUCUUAAUGUUCUAUGUAAAUAAUAACAUAAUCAAAACUACUUUUCAAACACCAUGUUUUUUGCUUUUAUUAAUUUUCCUAUCUAGCCCACUAAGUACUGCACUAAUCAACAUAUAUUAUUGGCCAAUUAGCAUGAACAUUAAAACUAGGAAUGUUGGCAUUUUAAUCCUAAGAAAUAAAUAACUCAAUAGGGGAAAUAUGUCACCUACCACCAUUCAGCUAAUUGAGUAAAGAAAAACUAUAUCUACAUAAUGCACAUAAAGUUAGUAUAAGUUUAGUUGGGCAUUUGUCUUGAUAGAUGUUAAAAUCCCUGUAGAAUUUACUUUGAUUAUUAAACUCAAAAAUUUUUUUUUUGUUUUACAAAAAUAUUUUUUACACUCCAGGAAUUUACUUUAAUGAUAAUAUUUACAUUUCUAUAUUUUUGAAUUUAAUAAAAUAAUUAUAAUAAGUACAAGUAAGUGUGUAUUGAAUACUGAUUAUGUACCAGUCAUUGUGCUAAAUACUUUAUAUGAAAUAACCCUUUUAGUAUCAAAAUAGCCCUAGGAAGAAGCUGGGGGAGCUCAUGAGGUUAGCAAGAAACCUUAAACAAAUAGCUGGGAAGUGACAAAGAAUUACAUUUAAUAAAAAGAAGUAUCAUUACUUUAAUUUUGUUAUUCUGCUUAUAUAUGUUGGUUCACUUUGCCAAGAAAUUCCCUCAAUCCCAUUCCCCUUUCAUACUGAUAAAUAAAAGCUGUCUAUAAUUCAAAGUUCAAUUUAUAUUUUCUCUAAGAAGCCUUUCUACAUCUCUUUACCUGAAGCAUCUCCAACAUUCCAAACUUCCAUAGUAGAAGGUAAACCUUCAUUGAGCACCCAUUAUACUCUACUCUUUUAUUAAAUUAUGCAUACAAGAAUUUAUUUAGCUUAAUUGUAUUGUGACUUUAUUUUUUAUUUUGUGGGUAUAUAAUGGGUAUAUAUGUAUGGGUUAUAUGAGACAUUUUGAUACAGGCAUGCAAUGUCUAAUAAUCAUAUGUGGGUAAAUGGGGUAUCUAUCACCACAAGCAUUUAUUCUUUGUGUUACAAACAACCCAGUUACACUCUUCUAGUUAUUUUUAAAUGUACAGCUAAAUUAUUUUUGAUUAUACUCACCCUGUUAUGUUAGCCAAUACCAGGUCUUAUUCUAUCCUAAUUAUAUUAUAAAUGACAGGAGGUCAGGAAUUAUGGUUCUGUUAUACUAGUGUCUUCUGCAGACUCCACUAAAAUAAGCAUUUGCUGAAUUUAUGCUGUAUUCCUCUAUUUAUAAAUACAGUAUACUUAGUUUAAUAAAAUUCAAAUUACAUUUUAUGAUAUCAUGUAAAGCAAUAAAAAUUCAUGCACUAUAGAAAAAUAUAAUUGUUCUACUUCUAAUAAGAUAGUUAAAUAGAAAAAUAAUACAAGAUACCAUAAUGACUAAUAAUGUCAAUUAAGGACCACAGUAAUAAAGGACCACAGUAAUAUAAAACAGGAUAACAAAAUUGAAAAAAAUUUACAUUGAUUAUUUUUGAUACUAUUGCAUCCUUUAGAAAAAGAUAGUCAACACUAACCCUUCAUAAAAUCUACUGCAAUAAUAAUUUAAAUAAUGGUUUUGAUUUUAUUUUGUGUCCAUAUUUCAUUAAUUAAAACAUUACUCGGCCGAGCAUGGUGGCUCAUGGCUGUAAUCCCAGGACGUUGGGAUCCAUCCACGAGGUGGAUGGAUCACCUGAGAUUAGGAGUUUAAGACAAGCCUGGCCUACAUGAUGAAACCCUGUCCCUACUAAAAAUACAAAAAAACAGCUGGGCAUGGGGGUGGGUGCCUGUAAUGCCAGCUACUGGAGAGGCUGAGGCAAGGAGAAUCGCUUGAACCCAGGAGGCAGAGGUUGCAGUGAGCCGAGAUCACACCAUUGCACUCCAGUCUGGGCAACAAGAGUGAAACUCCAUCUCAAUUUAAAAAAAAAAAUUACUCAAAGAGAAAAGCAUACGCGUUAGCAGAAAAUACUUUGAAAUUUCCCAGAAUGUAAGCUAUCUUUUUCAAAUUAAUGACGUAAAGUUAUAUAUGAGAAAAGGUCUUGGUGGGUAGGGGGGAUUGAGGUUUCAUAAAAUCAGUGAUUAAAAUAUUUUAAUAUAUUCUUUUUUAUAUUUAUUUAGAUAUCACCUACAUUUAAAGCAGUUAUUUGGUAAAUUCUGCUUUAUUUCUGAUAAUAGUAGACAGAGAUGAGAAGUAACAAUAAUGUUUUCAAAUACCUAAAUGCCACCUUUUUUUAAAAAAAAAAGCAAAUAGAAUUCUUGUGAACUUCCUUCUGACAUUUUUAACAAGUUUUUCUGUUCACAUAUUGUUUUUAUUAAAGCAUUUGCAUUUGCACUUUGUGAAAUAAAAUUUGAUACACCAGAAACCUGUUCCACCAUUAUCUCUUGAGACCUUGAGGUAAUAAAAAGUUCAUACUACAGCUCUUCAUCUUCUUUUACAACUACUGCAAAUAAAGGGCACCUAUCUGGGACACAAAAACCAAAGAGAAGAAAAAUAUGUCAUUUUGCUUUUGCUAUUGUUGAUGAUGAUGAUUUUAAAGAUGGCAAAUAAAUACACUGAUUUUUUUAUCUCUUAAAAUGGUCCAUCCAAGGCAUUCCCAUGUAACCUUUCCAUAUUUAAAAUAUUAAGUUGAACAUAAUGCCCAUUCAAAAAUAUGUUCUUGGCACACACCAGACACUUAAAUGCAAAAACAAAUUUCUUUUUUUUUUUGAGAUGGAGUUUUGCUCUUGUUGCCCAAGCUGGGGUGUGAUGGCGUGAUCUCGGCCCACUGCAACCUCCACCUCCCUGGUUCAAGCGAUUCUCCUGCCUCAGCCUCCCGAGUAGCUGGGAUUACAGGCAUGCGCAACCACGUCCGGCUAUUUUUUUGUAUUUUUAGUAGAAACGGGGUUUUUCCAUGUUAGCCAGCUGGUCUUGAACUCCUGACCUCAGGUAAUCCACUCGCCUUGGCCUCCCAAAGUGCUGGGAUUACAGGCGUGAGCCACCGCACCCGGCCAACAAAUUUCUUAUAUGUUGAAAGUACUGACUCUGAACAACUGGAGUAUAGCUAGCACAUCUCUGAAGUUUGGAAACUGACAUAGGCAAAGCAGAUCACCAGAAUGUAAUUACAUGUGGCUGUAGCUAAACUAUCCUUGGUAGGCACUUCUAUAUUUAUAAUGUUACUAAAUAAAUAUGAAAACACAUUAUAUUUAUCCACCAAGGUUAUUUUCUAGAAAAAUUAUGUUCUACACAAUUUAAGAAAGUAAUGAAGAAUGUUUGGCAUAACUAUAGUGUCAUGAGUAUAAAAGGUAAUGACCAACUUCUCUUAGCAAAUGGACACAUUUUUUUAAAAUUUGCCUAUGAGAUUGUCUAUGAAAAUAAAUGUUUACUAGAGAAAGUCAGAUUUAGCAAUACUAAAUAUGUACUUGAAUUAUUUCUCAUAUGAAAUUUACAUGGAGGCUGGGUGCAGUGGCUUACACCUGUAAUCCCAACACUUUGGGAGGCCAAGCUGGGCCGUCAGGAGGUCAGGAGUUUGAGACCAGCCUGGCCAACAUGGUGAAACCCCGUCUCUACUAAAAAUACAAAAAAAUUAGCAGAGCGUGGUGACACGGGCCUGUAGUCCCAGCUAACCAGGGGCUGAGGCAGGAGAAUCGCUUCAUCUAAGAAGGCGGAGGGUGCAGUGAGGUGAGAUUGCCUCACUGCUCUCCAGCCUGGGUGACAGAGCGAGCCUCCCUCUCCAAAAACAAAAGAAGAAAAGAAAUUCACAUGGAAUUAAUGUUUAUCUAGUAUUUAUUCCUCCUAUGGUAAGAGUUUUAUAUAUUAUCAUAAUGAUAGGCCAGAAUUUUAAAUGCACUAAGAGCUGACACAUAAUCUGCUGGUUGAAUGAAAGAACUUAGCUAAUUCCAUGGAAACUUCUAAUUCUUUUUUUUUUGUUGUUGUUGUUUUCUUUUUGAGACGGAUUCUCACUCUGUCGCCCAGGCUGGAGUCCAGUUGGCGCGAUCUCGGCUCACUGCAACCUCCGCCUCCUGGGUUCAAGCAAUUCUCCUGCCUCAGCCUCCCAAGUAGCUGGGAUUCCGUGUGCCGCCGCACCUGGCUAAUUUGUAUUUUUAGUAGAAAUGGGGUUUCACCUUGUUAGCCAGGAUGGUCUCGAUUUCCUGUCCCUCGUGAUCCGCCCACCUCGGCCUCCCAAAGUGCUGGGAUUACAGGCGUGAGUCACCGCACCCACCCAGAAACUUCUAAUUCUUAAAGGACCAAGAGAUAUGCUUAUGAAGAGAGCUGCUUCUUAGAAGAUUGUUAUAGGGGACUAGAUGAAGUUAAAGUUUGUCAAUGAGAAAAACUCACUUGAGGCUUGGAAAGUGGAAUGAAGAGAUAGCACAUGAUUUCCUGGAGCAGUUGCGGAGACAUCUGUGAGCAGGUAUGGGAUCUGUAGAUUUUAGGUGUGCUUCUUGAGAAGUACACACGCAGGUACUGCAACCUGAGAGUUAUGUGGUGCCUUCCAGUGAUUUCCCUUGAGAGUCACUCACUUGCGUCUCCGAGAUGAUUCUACUCUGCAGCCCAGGGGCGAACCAUAAAUAUAGCAACAGCUGAAUUUUUCUGACAAACUGAAGUGUCUUUCACACUGUGAGCUCAAAUUAUUAAUAGCAAGUUAUUUGACCCUCACUCCUUUCGCCUUGCAGUGGUUGUGAAGCCUCUAUUAUACAAUCCCUUAUAAUGGAAUUCAUACAGAACACUUUCUUCCUGAAAGCCCCAUGAAUGAUUUAAAGACUUAAUACAUUUUAUGAAAAUUAUUUCUUUAUGUGUUCUACCCCUCUACUAACUUGUGUUACUUAGCUAUUGCAAUUCCACAAGAACUUAAGUACAGAGAUUGAAAUCUAAUUGAAUUACAUGUUAAGUCUGCAUCCUUGAAGAAACAAAGCAAAUUGGUCAGAGUUUAUUAGUUUGAAUACCCAACUGCAUAAGACUUGGUUUGUGAUCUGAAAGUGAAUUUGUAGUUAGAAUUGAGGGCUCUCCUUGCUUUUCUGAUACAUCAGGCAGUAUAGAAGAUACCACCCUCCACUCUUCAUCGGGGCCCUUUCCCCAGCAGCACACACAAUUGGAGGUUGAUGUGUCACAUGGCAUCUGAAAUAAACUUGUGUGCUUGAAUGCUAUCUGCCCCAUGUAGGGGGAGAAGGCUAAAAAAGGAGACUACUAUCUGAAUGAUCUCUCAGCCUACUCUUUACUACGCUCUAUCAAGAAAAUCAGUUUUCACAUCCUAGAGAUGUCAUCCUCUACCCUUGAUACACAUUAGAAUCAUCUGAGGAUUUAUUUUUAAUGUUCAAGGUCCAUGCUCAGCUACCAUGAUUAAUCUGUGCAGUUAGUUCUAAACUUUCCCAAGUGAACUAAUAAACAGACAUGAAUGAGAACCACUAUAAGUAAGAGGGUAUCUUAAGCAACAUCUUGUUAGAAGCCUGUUUUUUAUGCAAAUUUAAACUUUACUUAUAGUUAGAAAAGAAAUUAAACUAUCACGUACCAGCACUAAUUAUAAUUUUUGUCAGUUUUGCUUCAUGACUUUUCUUGAAGUGUCAUGUCUUGAAGUGUCAUUCUACUUUAGUAUGCAUCACCAACUCAUCGAUAUUUCUUCCCCCAAAUCACAGUAUGAUUAUCACACCCACAAAUUCCAAUAGUUCCUUAAUAUCAUCUAAUGCUCAGUUCAUAUUCCUGAAUUUUCUAAAUCUCCUAAUUGUCUCUGAAGUGUCUUUCUAAAGUGAGUUGUUGGGCCCGGCAUGGUGGCUCACACCUGUAAUCCCAGCACUUUGGGAGGCCGAGGCAGGUGGAUCACCUGAGGUCAGGAGGUCGCCAACAUGGUGAAACCCCAUCUCUACUAAAAAUACGAAAAAUUAGCCAGAUGUGUUGGUGCGCACCUGUAAUCCCCGCUACUUGGAAGGCUGAGGCAGGAGAAUUGCUUGAACCCAGGAGGAGGAGGUUGCAGUGAGCUGAGAUCGCCUCACUGCACUCCAGCCUGGCGACAGAGUGAGACUCCGUCUCAAAAAAAUAAAAAAUAGAUUUAAAAAAUUAUAAAGCGAGUUGUUGGAAACAGGGCUAGAUAUUGUUUUUUAAAUCUUUAAUGUAGAAAAUCCAUUCCCAUUCCUUUACAUUUUAGUUAUGAACUUGUUGGGAGGAAAAUACCAAUUCUCUUUUAGGUUUAGCAAAUGUAUCCUGGUGGUAUUUACAUGCCACUCUAUUCCCUGCAUUUGUAAUAAAAAGAAAUUUAGAUCUAUGGACUUGACUAAAUUCAGAUUAAAAAAUUAGGCAAGAAUAACUUAGAGAUGAAGCUGAGUAUUUCAUAUUGUAUUGCAUCAGUAUACAUGUGUCAUUUAUUUCCUAUUGGUUCAGAUAAAAUUAAUUUUGAGGUUUAGAUAGUUACAGUCUAAUUCCUCCAUUACAAAGCUUUAUAUCACACCAGCUUACUUUUUGGUGGACUGUGAAUAUUCAUUUCUAAGUUAAUUU
rnacentral:lncRNA from 1 species